rnacentral:rRNA from 1 species
UACGGAGGGGGCAAGCGUUGUUCGGAGUUACUGGGCGUAAAGCGCACGUAGGCGGUGCGGUAAGUCAGGGGUUAAAGGCUGCAGCUCAACUGCAGUAAGGCCUUUGAUACUAUCGUGCUAGAGUGUCAGAGAGGAUGGCGGAAUUCCCGGUGUAGCGGUGAAAUGCGUAGAUAUAGGGAGGAACACCGGUUGCGAAGGCGGCUACCUGGCCGGUAACUGACGCUGAGGUGCGAGAGCGUGGGGAGCAAACAGG